rnacentral:rRNA from 1 species
GACGAACGCUGGCGGCGUGCUUAACACAUGCAAGUCGUGCGGUAAGGCCCUUUCGGGGGUACACGAGCGGCGAACGGGUGAGUAACACGUGAGCAACCUGCCCUUCACUUUGGGAUAACUGCCGGAAACGGUGGCUAAUACCGGAUAUGACUUCCUCACGCAUGUGGGGUGGUGGAAAGCCUUCGGGUGGUGGGGGAUGGGCUCGCGGUCUAUCAGCUUGUUGGUGGGGUGAUGGCCUACCAAGGCUUCGACGGGUAGCCGGCCUGAGAGGGUGACCGGCCACAAGGGACGUGGGAAGGGGCCCGGAACACGAAGGGGGGAAGGGGGGGGGAAUUGUGGAAAAGGGGCGAAAGCGGGAAACAGGAACCCCGGGGGGGGAAGGAGGGCCUUGGGGUUGGAAACGUCUUUGGCCUGCAAAGAAGGGAGGGGAAGGGAGGGAGGUAAAGAGACACCGGCCAAAUACGU